AGCUCCAAUAGCGUAUAUUAAAGUUGUUGCAGUUAAAAAGCUCGUAGUUGGAUUUCUGCCUCGCUGCGCCUGGCCCGCCCGCGUUAGCGGUGUGAGUGCCGGUUCGCGCGGUAGGCAUCCUUCCGGAGACCGGGCCUGCCCUUCACUGGGUGGGGUCCGCGACCCGGAUCGUUUACUUUGAAAAAAUUAGAGUGUUUAAAGCAGGCCGUUGCUCUGAAUACAUUAGCAUGGAAUAAUGACAUAGGACUUUGGUUCUAUUUUGUUGGUUUCUAGGACUGAAGUAAUGAUUGAUAGGGAUAGUUGGGGGUGCUAGUAUUGAGCGGCCAGAGGUGAAAUUCUUGGAUUCGCUCAAGACUAACUUAUGCGAAAGCAUUCACCAAGGAUGUCUUCUUUAAUCAAG
rnacentral:rRNA from 1 species